rnacentral:rRNA from 1 species
UACGUAGGGGGGCAAGCGUUUGUCCGGAAUUAUUGGGGCGUAAAGAGCGUGUAGGCGGUCCGGUAAGUCAGCUGUGAAAGUCAAGGGCUCAACCCUUGAAUGCCGGUUGAUACUGUCGGGCUAGAGUCCGGAAGAGGCGAGUGGAAUUCCCGGUGUAGCGGUGAAAUGCGCAGAUAUCGGGAGGAACACCAAUGGCGAAGGCAGCUCGCUGGGACGGUACUGACGCUGGAGACGCGAAAGCGUGGGGAGCAAACAAG